UGGACCAGUAUGGGUUGAAGGGGGAUUCAAUAUGUCUGGUUGUUGCAGAACCUCCUGAGAUGAUCAACGGACUUCAAUGGAGGAAGGACAAUGAUGUAAUAUUUGGAGACAAAGAGAUCUCUCCUAAAUACAAGGAGAAGGUGGACUAUAACAAUGAUAACCAUUCUCUGUGUAUUAAGAAUCUAAUGGAAACUGACAGUGGAAUUUACAUGGUAAACUACAGGAAACAUUGGAAACAAUCAACUACUACAUAUAGACUGUUAGUGGAGGAUCAUGUUCCCAAACCAGUCAUGGAUGUCACAUCUCUCCUCAACACAAGUGUGGGACUCUGUGAUGUCACAGUGAACUGUUCAGUUAAAGAUGGCUGGAUGUUGUCUGUCUGUGACAGCGGUCAGUGUACACUGUCACAACAGUCUCCGUCACUAACCGGUGGUAACGUGACCAUCUCCGUAGUGACUGGAAGGAUCCAAUGCACCAGCAGCAACCACGUCAGCACACAGACCAUCUCUCAACCCAUGGAGGACUGUAGUGGUAAUGUGAAAGCCUCAGUGUUACCAGUUGGCACCAUUGUGGGUUGUGUUACUGGUACAUUACUCCUAGUUGCUGUGUUACUUGGUGUUGGAUACAUCAAACAUACCAGAAGACAGAAAAUCUCUAAAGAACAAAGUCCACUAGAAGAGGUCAUUGUUCCAAGAUCAGUGAAGACUUCACCAGGCAGAGAAGAAUCACAGCACUCUACUGACCAGAACCACAGCCCUCUCCUGUCCAGAACCACAGCACUCUCCUGUUCAGAACCACAGCCCUCUCCUGUUCAGAACCACAGCACUCUCCUGACCAGAACCACACCACUCUCCUGUCCAGAACCACACCACUCUCCUGUCCAGAACCACAUCAUUCUCCUUUCCAGAACCACAGCACUCUCCUGACCAGAACCACACCACUCUCCUGUCCAGAACCACAUCACUCUCCAGAGAUACAGACUGUCUACUUCACUGAGAAGAACCAGCACCAGCAGAACACCUCCAAGUUGAAACAGGAAGUACAUCACCAGACAUGAGAGAAGAAGAACAGAAAGAUACCUUGUAACUGGAGAUUCUUUCAAAAUGAUUGCCUACGGUUCCCGUGUCGGGCUCUGCAAGGUUGGGUGACCAGGGCCAUCUGGGACUGCCUCCUGGAGGAAUUCAGGUGUGUGAAGGCUACCAGUGUCCUGCAUAACUUCAUGGAGGUUGGACACGAGGACCAGGAGAGGAUCUGCAGCUCACCGCCGUGUGCCAGAGGAGAAGUCUGCUGCUCUACAGGAGGGGAUCUGCAGCUCACCGCCGUGUGCCAGAGGAGAAGUCUGCUGCUCUGCAGGAGGGGAUCUGCAGCUCACCGCCGUGUGCCAGAGGAGAAGUCUGCUGCUCUGCAGGAGGGGAUCUGCAGCUCACCGCCGUGUGCCAGAGGAGAAGUCUGCUGCUCUGCAGGAGAGGAUCUGCAGCUCACCGCCGUGAGCCAGAGGAGAAGUCUGCUGCUCUGCAGGAAGUUUCCAGGAUGGGGUCCAACAACGCAGUAAAGGGAGGCAAUCCAGGAGAUCUUCAGCUUCUACUUCUUCUAAGAGGGUGCUGUUCCCUGGCAACAUCAGACACUACACUAUGCACAACCAAAGGCUCUUCUAAGAGGGUGCUGUUCCCUGGCAACACCAGACACUACACUAUGCACAACCAAAGGCUCUUCU